GGAACUGGAGAGGAGAGACUGUCCUCUGGGUGAACUUUGAUUCAGGAAGAGGAAGAAGACCUUUUGUCCUAGCUGUGCAACACUGGAACAGCUCUUUGACCUCUCGAGGAAAUCUAAGUGUUUUUGCAGGUGUUGCCUAACCAGUCUGCAUGUGUUUUGUGGACUUGGAGAAGAUAUUUGACUUCAUUUCUUUUGGAAUUCCGUGGGAGGUGCUUUGGGAGUAUAGUGCAUCUUGCAGCUUGCUGCGUGCCAUUCGGCACAUGUCCAUCUGCAGUGAGAGGUGGAGAUGUGUAUAUUUGUCCAUAGUGUGCUGUGUUUGUCCAUGCAGUCUCUGGAUUCAGUCUUGUAGAGAGUUCAGAGGUGUUGCCCGGAGCUGUAAGGUCCAAAACAAACUCAGCAAAAACAGCAGCAACGAGGACGACAGCAACAGAAACAACCACUGCAGCAGUGAUGGUGAUCAUCAUGUCCGAGGGUUCCUCUGAUCAGUCAGAAAUCAUGUAGUUUAAAUGUAAAUCACACAUUGCCUGGUGAGGAUGACGUCCUCACCAUCAGAGAGCUGAAACACACAGUCAUAUCUGCUCCAGUCUUCAGGUGUGAAUGAUGAAACAUUCAGAUC